rnacentral:rRNA from 1 species
UGGUGGAGUGAUUUGUCUGCUUAAUUGCGAUAACGAACGAGACCUUAACCUACUAAAUAGCUUUGUUAGCUUUUGCUGACUUAAAGCUUCUUAGAGGGACUAUCGUGCUUAAAGCCGAUGGAAGUUUGAGGCAAUAACA